rnacentral:RNase_P_RNA from 1 species
CGAGCAGCACAGACAACCGCCGCGUCUUCGAUACGUCGGCGCGGAGGAAAGUCCGGGCUCCGCAGGGCAGGAUGCCGGGUAACGCCCGGUCGGCGCGAGUCGAAGGAAAGUGCCACAGAAAGGAAACAGCCUGCGAAAAACGCGGGUAAUGGUGAAAAGGCAGGGUAAGAGCCUACCGAGUGCGGCGUAAGCCGCAUGUCAGGCAAACCCCAUCCGGAGCAAGAUCGAAUAGGGGGGGAUGAGGCGGCCCGCCGACCCCCGGGUCGAUCGCUUGAGGAGCGUCGCGAGGCGCUUCCCAGAUAAAUGGUUGUCACAUACAGAACCCGGCUUAUGGGCUGCUCGUUUU